AAUAUUGUGCUAGCCGAGCUGCUUCGUGCACUGAGUCAGACUUCCCUCUUUCUUCUUUAUCCGCUUUCAACUCUCUCUCUAUCUGCGAAAGCUUCACUAACUCGGACUCCGCCAUCAAGCUCAGACUAUCGUUUGGCUCCAAACUCGUGAUUCCACCCUCACCCAACAAGGAAAUUUCCACCAAUGGGAACCCUCUGAUCGACGACUACAACAACAACAACAACAACAACGUUAUUGUUGCUGCCAAGUCACAGGACUCUCAGCUAGAACGCCUAUAAGAAUAUCUCUUCUAUUUACUGAGCAAAUUCCAUCUCUGUAAACAAGAAAAUGAACAACCAGAGAGGCCAUGUCAUUGUGCUCACAUAUCCUGCCCAAGGCCACAUAAAUCCUCUCCUCCAGUUUGGAAAACGUUUGGCCAGCAAAGGACUCAAGGUAACUCUGGCCACUACUCAUUAUACCGUCAAGUCUAUUCAUUCAGCCACAGUAGGCGUGGAGCCCAUCUCAGAUGGCUUUGAUGAAGCUGGAUUUAAGCAAGCUCCAAGUCUAGAAGCCUACAUAGAUUCUUUCAAUUCAGUAGGAUCGAAAACUCUAGCAGAGCUGAUAUCAAAGUUCAAUGAUUCAGCCUCACCAGUAAACUGUAUUGUGUAUGACUCUUUGCUACCAUGGGCUCUUCAAGUGGCUAGGCAAUUUGGCAUCUAUGGUGCUGUGUUCUUAACAAACUCGGCUUCCGUUUGCUCCAUGUACUGGCAUAUCCAUCAUGGUAACCUGACUUUGCCUGUGAAGCUAGAAACUGAGCAGCUGUUGUUGCCUGGCCUUCCUCCCCUUGGCAUUUCUAACUUGCCAGCUUUUAUUGAGCAGCCCACACGUGCCUCUGCUUACUUGACAUUGAUCCUGGAGAAAUUUGGCCUUUUGGAAGAGAAUGAUUGGGUGUUCUGUAACAGUUUUGAAGAGCUGGAAAGUGAGCUAGUAAAGGCUAUGAAGGGACUCUGGCCCUUGGUGAUGAUUGGUCCAAUGGUGCCAUCAGCCUACCUAGACCAGCAGAUCAAUGGAGACAGAACUUAUGGAGCCAGUCUUUGGGAGCUUAGCAGUGACCAGUGCCUGAGAUGGCUUGAGACACAACUGCCAAAGUCAGUGGUAUACGUAUCAUUUGGAAGCAUGGCAGACAUCACAUCUCAACAGGCUGAAGAAAUUGCAGGGGGUUUAAUAGCAAGCAAUGUGCAUUUCUUACUGGUUGCAAAAGAUUCCAGGGACAAGUUUCCGAGCGGCUUUCUUAAUUCAGUACAAGGAAGAGGAUUGAUUGUGCCGUGGUGCAACCAACUAGAGGUUCUAGCACACCCGGCUGUUGGUUGCUUUGUGACACAUUGUGGGUGGAACUCAACAUUGGAGGCCUUGAGCAUAGGGGUGCCAAUGGUAGCACUUCCACAGUGGAGUGACCAGCCUACUAAUGCCAUGUUUGUGGAGGAGUUGUGGUGGGUGGGAGUAAAGGCCAAGAAAAACAAAGAGGGGAUCGUGUCGCGGGAUGAGCUAGAGAUGUGUAUAAUGGAAGUUAUGGUAGGAACAAAAAGUGAAGAGAUAAAGGAGAAUGCAAGUAAAUGGAGAAAGCUUGCAAUAAGAGCUGUUAGUUCAGGUGGAAGCUCGGAUAAGAACAUCAAUGAAUUUGUAGGUAAAUUGAUGAAAGAGAAAGGAGUGGGGAAGAAAGCUUGAUUGCUGGUUGGCGCCUGAUGAACAUAUGAACUUGUAUGUAUGAUGAUAUGUGUGAUCCAAUUCCGGGAAAGAUACUUUAGAAUGCUAGACUUAAGUAGGGACCAACUCAUACUCUUUCAGGAUGUGUUUUGGUCUUUCGAUGUUCAGUAAGAAAGGUAGCAAGUAUUCGUCACAGCUUGAAGUGAUAGAUUACUUUGAAUAAAAGACCAUUACAUGGCUGGAUGUUCAAUAUCUUUAUCCUCAUGCAACAAUUGAUUCUAGCAUUGGACUUAUAACCCAACUCCUCUUUUGGAGCUUUCAGCUGCAAUUGGCAGCAAGGAUCUCAGUUAGCUUGGGUCAACUGAACAGGUCUUUAUCUAUUGUUUGCUUCAUUUUCAGAACUGGUCUGAUAUGUGGUGGUGUUGGGGGUUGGGGGGGGAGAGAGAUUCACGAGGUCUAAAGUGGAGUGAAUUUGUUGGUUUAUGAACUGGUUUGAUACUGAAAUGUGAAAGAGUUGCUGGUUGAAGAACUGGAAAUGUUGGUGGAUAUGUUGGGUAGAGACUGAAAUAGAGUGGAUUGUGGGCUGCGGCUUGGCCUUUGUAUUAUAGGUUGAUAUUAUAAAAAGUUGAUGAUAAGGAAUCGUAGGCUACUGAAAUGCUAUUAUAAGAACUUGUAUGAAAUGUUAUUAUUGAUCUUUUUUUCAGA